CCUUUUUGUGACAUCGAUAAUCCUUCCUUUUUUGUGACCGUUAUAAUGGGCAUAACGUCUUAUGAAUGCUCGUUGUAUCGAUCAUCAAAAUGGAGGAAUAUGCACGACAGAGCACAAGGUA
rnacentral:precursor_RNA from 10 species